rnacentral:rRNA from 1 species
AGCGAACGCUGGCGGCAGGCCUAACACAUGCAAGUCGAACGACGUCUUCGGACUUAGUGGCGGACGGGUGAGUAACACGUGGGAACGUACCUUUUGGUUCGGAACAACUCAGGGAAACUUGAGCUAAUACCGGAUGAGCCCUUAGGGGGAAAGAUUUAUCGCCGAAAGAGCGGCCCGCGUUAGAUUAGCUAGUUGGUGAGGUAAAGGCUCACCAAGGCUACGAUCUAUAGCUGGUCUGAGAGGAUGAUCAGCCACACUGGGACUGAGACACGGCCCAGACUCCUACGGGAGGCAGCAGUGGGGAAUCUUGCGUAAUGGGCGAAAGCCUGACGCAGCCAUGCCGCGUGAAUGAUGAAGGUCUUAGGAUUGUAAAAUUCUUUUACCAGGGACGAUAAUGACGGUACCUGGGGAAAAAGCCCCGGCUAACUUCGUGCCAGCCGCCGCCGUAACAC